GACGAACGCUGGCGGCGUGCUUAACACAUGCAAGUCGAACGGAAAGGCCCUGCUUUUGUGGGGUGCUCGAGUGGCGAACGGGUGAGUAACACGUGAGUAACCUGCCCUUGACUUUGGGAUAACUUCAGGAAACUGGGGCUAAUACCGGAUAGGAGCUCCUGCUGCAUGGUGGGGGUUGGAAAGUUUCGGCGGUUGGGGAUGGACUCGCGGCUUAUCAGCUUGUUGGUGGGGUAGUGGCUUACCAAGGCUUUGACGGGUAGCCGGCCUGAGAGGGUGACCGGCCACAUUGGGACUGAGAUACGGCCCAGACUCCUACGGGAGGCAGCAGUGGGGAAUAUUGCACAAUGGGCGGAAGCCUGAUGCAGCAACGCCGCGUGCGGGAUGACGGCCUUCGGGUUGUAAACCGCUUUCGCCUGUGACGAAGCGUGAGUGACGGUAAUGGGUAAAGAAGCACCGGCUAACUACGUGCCAGCAGCCGCGGUGAUACGUAGGGUGCGAGCGUUGUCCGGAUUUAUUGGGCGUAAAGGGCUCGUAGGUGGUUGAUCGCGUCGGAAGUGUAAUCUUGGGGCUUAACCCUGAGCGUGCUUUCGAUACGGGUUGACUUGAGGAAGGUAGGGGAGAAUGGAGUUCCUGGUGGAGCGGUGGAAUGCGCAGAUAUCAGGAGGAACACCAGUGGCGAAGGCGGUUCUCUGGGCCUUUCCUGACGCUGAGGAGCGAAAGCGUGGGGAGCGAACAGGCUUAGAUACCCUGGUAGUCCACGCUGUAAACGGUGGGUACUAGGUGUGGGGUCCAUUCCACGGGUUCCGUGCCGUAGCUAACGCUUUAAGUACCCCGCCUGGGGAGUACGGCCGCAGGGCUAAAACUCAAAGGAAUUGACGGGGCCCCGCACAAGCGGCGGAGCAUGCGGAUUAAUUCGAUGCAACGCGUAGAACCUUACCUGGGUUUGACAUGGAUCGGGAGUGCUCAGAGAUGGGUGUGCCUCUUUUGGGGUCGGUUCACAGGUGGUGCAUGGCUGUCGUCAGCUCGUGUCGUGAGAUGUUGGGUUAAGUCCCGCAACGAGCGCAACCCUUGUUCACUGUUGCCAGCACGUUAUGGUGGGGACUCAGUGGAGACCGCCGGGGUCAACUCGGAGGAAGGUGGGGAUGACGCCAAGUCAUCAUGCCCCUUAUGUCCAGGGCUUCACGCAUGCUACAAUGGCUGGUACAGAGAGUGGCGAGCCUGUGAGGGUGAGCGAAUCUCGGAAAGCCGGUCUCAGUUCGGAUUGGGGUCUGCAACUCGACCUCAUGAAGUCGGAGUCGCUAGUAAUCGCAGAUCAGCAACGCUGCGGUGAAUACGUUCCCGGG
rnacentral:rRNA from 1 species